GACGAACCGAGCGAACGUUGUUCGGAAUCACUGGGCUUAAAGGGCGCGUAGGCGGGCCGCCGCGUCCGGGGUGAAAUCCUCCCGCUCAACGGGAGAACGGCCUCGGAUACGGGCGGUCUGGAGGGGGGUAGGGGCGUGCGGAACUGUGGGUGGAGCGGUGAAAUGCGUUGAUAUCCACAGGAACUCCGGUGGCGAAGGCGGCACGCUGGACCCCACCUGACGCUGAGGCGCGAAAGCCAGGGGAGCAAACGGG
rnacentral:rRNA from 1 species